CUGGGCUCUGAGAAAGAGACGGGAGGCUGAGGCAGUAACCAGGAGCCAGAGCCUACUGUCCCCGUGUCCACCGACCUGGGACAGAAAUGGCAGUGUGAGGACAGAAUGGUGGAGCUUUGGGGACUCUUAGAAAGCCUCCAGUCCAGUGAUUUUCAGUCCGGGCUGCCCUCCAGAGCCACCUGAGGAGCUUCUAAAAAGGGCGGCUGACUCCCACCAGAGCAAGAAAGCAAGAAAGCAAGAAAGCAAGAGAGGACGAGACGGAAGGCAGCCUUCUUAUAAACCUAAUCUUCAAAGUGAUCUUCCGUCGUUUUCGCUCAGCCCAUUCUCAAAGGGAGAACGAACUACGCAGGGUGUGAACAUCAGGAGGUGGGAUCACCGGGGCCAUCUUGGAGGCUGCCUUCCAAGCUAGUAAAUAACCAACAGAGGCUGGAGCACAUGAAUUAGGCUUCACUGCAGGGUGAUUCAACUGGGGCGUUUACUUGGGGACCCUUGAAUGUCAAUUCUUAGGGUUUUCCUUCUUGGGCUGAUCAAAUUUCCCAGAAAACACUUUUGUAAUCUCCUGGCUGGAGGGUGAAAUUUGGACUGCCAGACGUGAUGGAGCCACAUGGAGAAGAGGGCUGUGGGGGUCUCAAGACACAGCACUCCUUUAGUCUCCUACUGCGGUUAUGGUGCCCCUCUUCCCAGCGUGUCUGGUACCUCACAUUCCAAAGACCCUCUGUGUUAUCCUCUCCAGAGAAUAAAACUCCAGUCUUUUCCUGGGUCAGGGGCAGUUGCUUUGCAUCGGGGAAUUGGGGAGGAGAUCUGGAAUCCUUUUUAAAUAAGCUUUCAACCAAUUUUCCUCAUGUUAGCCUGCCCUUCACCCCCAUUUCUAGAGGUCCCUGUUGCCACCAGUUCAUGAGCCUGGUGCGGACUCUGCAGGAGAAACUUGGUUGAGUCUUGGCCUUUCCCACUCCUGGCUUGGGAUUCAGCUUUCACAGGUCUGCCAAGUCACUUACCACUCAUUCAUCUGCGUUCCAGCUUUCAAAAUUGUAGUGGCAUUGCAUCCUGUUUUGUUCUCCCUGUCCUUACGGGUUUAGUGCCUUCCUAAAAGCUCUCUUUACUGCCAUUAUAGUCUGAUUUCAGGAGGGAGCCAAAGGAGAUGUGUGUAUUCAAUCCACCCUCAUUAGCCUCAGGUAUUUCUUCUUUAUAUUUGUUUGUUUAUUUGUUUAUUGUCUGUCUUUCCCUCUUGGAUGUGGGUUCCAGGAUAACUUGUCUCUUUCGUUCAACUAUGCAUCCUCAGCCCCUAGAACCGUCUUGACACAGGUAGG
rnacentral:lncRNA from 1 species